GCCCAUAUAAUGCAGUGGUUUGAAUGUUAAAUUAGAAUUUUAGAGAUCAGAAUUUGAAUCCCUGCUUGGGCA
rnacentral:tRNA from 1 species